UCUUCAACUUGUGCAACAGUUCUUCAGUUUUCUUCUCUCGUUCUUCACUUGCCUUGGCAAGUUGCUUCAACUUUUGAUUCUUCUCUUCCGGGAGCUCCCCCUCCAAUUCAUGAAUGAGUGUCCUUAUGUUUCCACACAGUCUCUGAUUCUAUUUGGCUUCAUUCUGGUUGAAUUGAGGAACCUGAAAAAGUUAUAACAGCAAUAUUAUUACUGGACCUAACAGACAAACAUUGACAUACAGAUAAGUACAAUGUUUAUUACCCAUACUAAAACUUCCAUUUAUAAACUGAAAACUUUAUAACAGCAAUAUCUCUGCUAAUAAAGCGAAGCGCCCUUUACUGUUCACCCGUGUUCAUAUGCUACAGUGUGCGGGCUAUUUUACCCCUUCUGUUUGCUGGGAUUGGAGAGGGGAAAGAGGGCCAAUGUCGUCAUUGAACCACUACAGGUGUGGCCUUCAUUUGCUGCAACGACAUCAGGGGAGAGAAUUCUUUUGCUUGCCGUGCCAAACCCUUCUGAUGCAAGGGAUUUGAGAGUUGCAAACUUGGGAUUCUUUUUUUGUAGAAAUAUCAGCCCAAACUCAGGAGAGAAGGAAGAAACCGAUCUUCUCUUGGCUCCUCAUUCGAUCCGGCGAAACAGUUUAUCAAAGUUUGCAGUAGUCAGGUAACUUAAUUAUUGCUGCUGUCAUGUAUUUGCAAUCCAUUAUUUGCUCAAUAUAAUUAUUUUAAAGAUCGAAUUCGGGUAUAUUAUCAUUCAUGGAUCACUUCUGAUAGAUAUGCUGUGUGGAAAUCGAACAUCGUCGAGAAAAAGAUUUUUUAAACAGCAAAUCUUUGAGGAUGAACAUCAAGAUGCACUGCGAAUUGAAAUGAUAUCUGACUAUGAAAAUACAUCAAAUAGCAGUGAAACUAUUACAGGUCUUCACAGGCAAGUACCAAUUUCCAUUCAAGCUGCAUGCCGGUUCUGCUGAAGAAGAAUACAGACAUCAGGUACAUUAUAACCAAAGAAGCUAUCUUCCUUGGUUCCUCCUUCCUCUUCUUAAUCUUGUUCAGCUCCUCUUCUAACUUCUCCCGGAUGAUUUUCGUCAUGAUCGGUCCUU